GAGCAAUCCUCGGUGGCGAGUGGCGAACCGGUGAGUAAUAUAUCCGAACGUGCCCAGUCGUGGGGGAUAACGCAGCGAAAGCUGCGCUAAUACCGCAUACGAUCUAUGGAUGAAAGCGGGGGACCGUAAGGCCUCGCGCGAUUGGAGCGGCCGAUAUCAGAUUAGCUUGUUGGUGGGGUAAAAGCCCACCAAGGCGACGAUCUGUAGCUGGUCUGAGAGGACGACCAGCCACACUGGAACUGAGACACGGUCCAGACUCCUACGGGAGGCAGCAGUGGGGAAUUUUGGACAAUGGGCGCAAGCCUGAUCCAGCAAUGCCGCGUGCAGGAUGAAGGCCUUCGGGUUGUAAACUGCUUUUGUACGGAACGAAACGGCUCUCUUUGAUAAAGGGGGCUAAUGACGGUACCGUAAGAAUAAGCACCGGCUAACUACGUGCCAGCAGCCGCGGUAAUACGUAGGGUGCGAGCGUUAAUCGGAAUUACUGGGCGUAAAGCGUGCGCAGGCGGUUAUAUAAGACAGAUGUGAAAUCCCCGGGCUCAACCUGGGACCUGCAUUUGUGACUGUAUAGCUAGAGUACGGUAGAGGGGGAUGGAAUUCCGCGUGUAGCAGUGAAAUGCGUAGAUAUGCGGAGGAACACCGAUGGCGAAGGCAAUCCCCUGGACCUGUACUGACGCUCAUGCACGAAAGCGUGGGGAGCAAACAGGAUUAGAUACCCUGGUAGUCCACGCCCUAAACGAUGUCAACUGGUUGUUGGGUCUUCACUGACUCAGUAACGAAGCUAACGCGUGAAGUUGACCGCCUGGGGAGUACGGCCGCAAGGUUG
rnacentral:rRNA from 1 species